UACAUGUGGUGCAAGCGUUGUUCGGAAUUACUGGGCAUAAAGGGUGCGUAGGCGGUGUCGUCAGUCUGGGGUGAAAUCCUGCGGCCCGACCGUGGGACUGCCUCGGAUACUGCGAUGCUUGAGUGCGUGAGGGGUGAUCGGAACGCGUGGUGUAGCGGUGAAAUGCGUAGAUAUCAGGAGGAACACCGAUGGCGAAGGCAGGUCUCUGGGCAUUAACUGACGCUGAGGAGCGAAAGCAUGGGGAGCGAACAGG
rnacentral:rRNA from 1 species